AAUUUAACGACAGAUAUAUUUUGAGAUACUUUUAAAAAUAUAAGAACUAGACGACACUAUUACCCUAAAUAAAAAAUUUGGAGUGCCCAUUCAUGGUGACAACAAUAAUAAUGUAAUGUAAUCAAACUGAGGGUAAAUUUGAUUGCAAAAUUAAUCUUUAUUAAUGAAGUUAAUGUUCACUGUAUCAACUGCAUAAUUAUAUUGGAUGCCACAAAAAGGCUAGUCUAUAAUGAAUAGAGGGCAGUAAAAUGCUGAUGAUCUUGGUAAUUAAAUUAUAAUUAAUGUCAUAAACUAUAUAUGCUUUAUACUCAUUCCCUUUUUACCAUUAGGCUACCAGUCUACACACCAUCCAAAAUCAACCCCAUAAUUAUCUUGCUGGUUUGCUACUGAAAUUGGGUAUAGUCUAUAAUCACAACAGGAUUUGCCGACUAUAACUUUUGUAUUGAUUAUAAUAUCAUGGAUUACUGGCUUUAUUAUAGAUUCUUAAAACUAGCUAGCAGCUAGAUAGAGUUUCUAAUACUCUCAUUAAAUUCAGAGAAAAUUAGCUUUGAUAUUGACCUCUUUUGAAUCUUCACAGUAAUCCCAUUUUCAACGGACUUUAAUAUUUGUUAAAAGAAGGGGGGGAAAAUUGUAAACUUCAACCCAACUUUAUGGGAUUUUUAAUGCAGAUUAGGGUACAGCAUUAUUGCUGUUCAUCUGAUUGCUUCUUGGUGGUAUGAAAGUCAGAAAAUCAAAUGAGCCGCAUUAAUUGACUGUUGAAGCUAGCUAGCAAUAACAAGGAGAGAAUGGCAGUGCCACUGGGCAUGCAAUAAAUUAUGCUUCGUAUAGUAUACUCCAAAACAACUGCUGGUGGUGUUGAAUUCUCAAUAGUUCCCAUUUACCUACAUCUUUGAUUGUAUUAAAUACAAAUUUCGCGUUACUGUUCUGCAAUCACCAUGCAUAUAUUUUGCGUAAUAAUGUGCAAGUUUAAUUUUGCGAGGAAAAAAAAUCUUGAAAAUAGUAUUUUU
rnacentral:lncRNA from 1 species